rnacentral:lncRNA from 1 species
AUUUUCUCUCUCAUCUACCUUCCCUCGACUCUCUUCCUUUCUCUAUUGUCGUCGAAGAUUGUUUCAAUGUCAGCUCCAGUAAGCUCGCCUCUAGCAUCCAAGCGAGUCAACUUACCACUGUCGACUGCUCUAGUACAAUAUCCACUAUUUCCAACUCCCGAGGCAUCAACACCACUAGAUUCGGCUUCUACGCACCCAAGUGAGACUUCAGCUAAGGCUCCGUCGAACAGUAAGAAGCACAUUUCACCUUCAAAUGCUUCGGCCCUGAAGUUGAUGAGCCCACCUGCACGUCCGACGGAAGCCUCCAAACCUGACCGAUUCCAUCAGUCAAUGGACUUUUACCCGAUUUAAUCAAGAGAGCCAUAUAGGUACAAUAUCAUUUAUUGUCGAGCCUCCAAGUGGGACUUUAGGUCACUCCAAUAAUUUCCCACGCAGCUAGGGGUUUUCCACACUUCUACCAAAAAACCCUGACCGUUAUACAGAUCUCAGUUUGUCGUAAUUAUUCUGAAAUUUUGUGUUCUUGUUAUUGUAUAUUCAUAUAUAAGUUUUCUAUCUUCCUCAAGAAAAUUAAUCAGGUUUC